UAUAGAUAAUGGCAAAUUCGUCGAAAGGUGAAGGCGCAAAGCCACGGGCCUAAGGUAAUAGACUAUGGUAGCCGGGUUACCGAA
rnacentral:ncRNA from 1 species